CGAGACCUCAGGUCAGGCGGGGCUACCCGCUGAAUUUAAGCAUAUCAAUAAGCGGAGGAAAAGAAACUAACAGGGAUUCCCUUA
rnacentral:rRNA from 1 species